UUUCUUGAGGGACUGUUCUAUGUCAGCAUGAGAUAAAUCACCUCAUCGAUAUAACAAUGACAAGUGAUGCAUGCCUAUCAUUUCAUUAUGAAAUCAUAUUGCUAUGACCCCCAUCCCCCAACACACACCUUCCAUUCUGCUGCAGAAUGUUCACUCCAGGAAGGCAGGGAUGCCCCAGCUGCAUCCUUCAUCUCAAGGCAGGUUUGCAGAGGGAAAGGGGGGGAAGUUGAGAGGCAGUCAGCUGCAGCCUGUGGUUAGCCCUUAUUGCCAGCUACCAUUUCUCUGAGUUUCCUUUCCAACAGAGAACCUGUAGUCCUGACUUGGCUACCCUGUCUUUGUCUCCAGGGAUGGAAAUGCCUGCUAGAAAGAACUGCUGUUCUCCUGCCAUCUAAAAAUGCUGUGUCCAUCCACUGCCACAACAGAACUGCCAUGUCUGCCUGGAAAUGCCCAAACAGUGGCAAGAGACAACCGAAAGGAAGCUGGCCAGUAAUGAAGACCACUUUGGGUACAGAGUGGUGUGCUCAAUUCUGCUGUUUUUUGACUAGGUGUUUGAAAGAGGCAAGAGAUGCAGGUGCCUGCUAUCUACAGUGGGACCCCAGCAAGUCUGCAAGGACCCACAGAGCCACCCACCGCAGCAUGGCUGACAGUUAACAAGUUUGGGAAGCAGAUGGAGAAUGUGAGCUCACCUCCGAAAGAACUUUUUCCCAUCUAUGCAAAAGACAUCAAGCCUGAGUGCCAGCUACAACUUGCACUCCACUCUGAGAAAAGCUGGGCCAAACAAGUACGUACUUCAGAGCCUCACACAGAAGAGGAAUGUAUAGGACUGAAAAAAAAAACAGCACCCUGUGAACAAAGGGCCUGGAACUGCAAGAUUCAAUGACCAGUAAUACUGGACUCCAGCUCAUUACUUAUACCAAAUCACUGUGAAUUCCAGUGACAAGGAGAAGGCAAGGAACUCUUCUUUCCAAAAACAGCAUUCCUGAGCACCUUCUGCAACAUAACCAUCUUUGACACUACUCUCCUCAUGAUGUGGCCCCUGGAAUGUCCUUGUAGACUCAGAACAGAGAAAUAAAUGUGGUUUAAGAAUUCUGGCCAUCCUUGCAAUGAAAAAGUCGCUCCCCUUCUCCAAGUUUCAGUCUUCUCACUGGUAAAAGGAAGUGGUUAGAUUAGCUGAUCUCCAUGUCCCUUCCAGAUCUGAUGCCACAAGACAAAGCAGGCCCUGGAAAAAGUUACUGUACCUCUCUUUGAGAAAAACAAACAAACAAAACCCACAGCUGAAGAAAUAAAGCCUAAAUCAGAACGCUGGAGGAAUGCCAGCUUCUGGGAAGACUACAUCCCAAGAGGAAAGACACAAAGCUGUCCUGCCCCUUUGGGUUGGUGUUGGUGCCUAGUGAAGAGGUGGCCUUGAUGAUCACUGAAGAUCUAUGGGGACAGUCUAAAAUAAGCUCAGGGCGUGGAGGGACAGCGGGAAGUAGGGGCUUGGGAGCAGACUGAUGGGAACCAAUUGGCUGAGGUUUUCUAAUGGAGACAGAAGGAUGAGAGCAAAAGGGUGGGGGAGGGCCGGAUGCAGAGAGCAGCAGCAAGGCUGCUGGCAACAGCCCUGAGUCUCCCUCCUCUCAUUUCAAGAGCAGUUUCUUC
rnacentral:lncRNA from 1 species